rnacentral:lncRNA from 1 species
GCAGCCAAAUGGAUAACUUUUGAAUGACAUUAGGAAUGUUCUCAAACAUUAUAUAAAUGUGAUUGUUUUAUAAAUAGUAUGUUUUACACGCGUUUAGUGUCACUCCUCUGUACUUUUCAGUCGAGACCGCCCGUCAGCUUAAGUACACAGUGUUCCGUAAGAGACAAACAUAAAAUAAAAUUAGCAGCCGCAGGUGACUGUUUUCUCGAGCUGUUCAUUGUAGCAGCUCUUGUGUACCAUACAAUUGAAGAAACAACUAAAACCCUGCAUUCUACACUAUCUUAUUUUUGCCGUAAACAAAAAUAUUGUUAUGACGUAGUCGUUGUCGUUGACUUCAGUGCAAAAGUUCUCAUUUAAUGUUUUCAGAACUCAGAAUUGUUAACACUUGGUAAGCUAGGAGUUAUAUUUGGGCUCAUAUUACGCUUGCUUUUAUAACAUAUGUUGACUUUUUGAUAAAUUCGUUUUCUUCGUUUCCUGCAUUAAUUUGUGACUAAUGGGGACUUUUUUACUAGGGCAGAUAAUGGACAUAUUUGUAAUCAAGAAUAUUUGAUAAAAGACAUUUUGAUUAUGUUGUUUAAAGUUUUCAGUAAUAACAUAGAGCAAAAACGAUUGACAGGUAUUUCCCUGCUGAUGUAUGAAUUUUUACCUCUAUAUUUUGAUAAAAGUAGAUUUUGUUUUUUUUUCGUAACAUUGCACAUUAACUGCUUUUAAAUGUUUUGCCCGACAUAUCGAUGCAGAUAGAGGUUAAAAGCUGUGCUAAAAUACGUCACAAUUUAAUCAUACAUCAAGUUGGCGGCACUGUAAAAUACCAUUUCAUGGUUUCAUUAAGCGGAAUUAAGUUGUUUUUUUUUAUCGUAAGAAUAUUUCACUGGUUAAAGGUCUGACUCGAGAGUUUAGGCGGUAGCUAUAGGAUAUGUCCAUCCGCGCUAACAACCAGUAAUAUGUUCUUUUUGUUGUAUACUAUAUUCUUCAAAUCAGUAGAAGAAAUAAAAUAGAAUUAAUACAAGUCUUUUAGGCACUAUUUGAUUGUGAUAGUUUAUGCGUCACAAAUUACAGCACGAGAGUCUUACCACACCCAUUUUUUUUCAAGCAACGGCUAAAACACAGGGGAAUCCUGUCCGGCAUACAAAAAUGUGCUGUUCGCGUGACAGUUCUCUGAUACAACUGGAUUUAUUUCAAUGUACCCAUUUAUUUAUCUAUAUACUAGAAUAUGACAUGAAAAUGCUUUAAUGCUGGAAUUGUCAUUUUGUUUAGCUACAUUGUCUCCAGUUAGUACAUCGCCUUUGACAGAGGCAAGUUUUUUUUUUUGCAGUGUGUUUAAUUUGAAAGUCUUAAUUUAAAUACAUUAUCUGAACUGAUAAGAGAAUAACUUAAUAUGCAGUUAAACGAAUUUGCAGAUAAAACCAAGGACACAGAAGUUCAAAAAGAGGAUCUUAUCAAGUGUGUAUUUUAUUAUGUUUCAAUGACAGUAUUUAAAUGGAACACUUCUAAAUUAAAAAAAAAUGGAAUUGAAGUUGUUGAUGUAAUUGUUUGAAGGGCAUUGAAGUUGCAAAAUCAUAUUAUCAAAUACUUUACACUUAUGCCGGUGAUUUAUAUAAUUAUCACUGGUCAUAUCAGUGUUUUUACAAGGAAUAUUAAUAAAGGAUAUGGGAGAAAGUGAUGAGAUUAAUAAAGAAAUUCAGGAGUCUGAAACAAGGAUGAACCACGAGCAUCAUCAUCGUUCUAUGCACGGACACAAUUUUUUUUCCCUGAAGACAGAUUCUGAUUUCCUAAUUGAAGGCAUCAAAAUUUCAUCCGUUCAAGGGAUUAUACUGGCAAUGGUGUUUACCUUUGCGAUUGCAAUAUGCUAUGACAGUACAAAAUAUAUGAUGUUCGUGCAGGAUUAUCAAAGCUAUACAAGAUAAGAAAAGG